rnacentral:rRNA from 1 species
UCGCCCUACGGGAGGCAGCAGUGGGGGAUAUUGCACAAUGGGGGGAACCCUGAUGCAGCGACGCCGCGUGGGUGAAGAAGCGCCUCGGCGCGUAAAGCCCUGUCAGCAGGGAAGAAAAUGACGGUACCUGAAGAAGAAGCCCCGGCUAACUACGUGCCAGCAGCCGCGGUAAUACGUAGGGGGCGAGCGUUAUCCGGAAUUACUGGGCGUAGAGGGUGCGGAGGUGGUUUCUUAAGUCAGAGGUGAAAGGCUACGGCUCAACCGUAGUAAGCCUUUGAAACUGGGGAACUUGAGUGCAGGAGAGG